CCCUUGACAUGUCCUCUAUGGAUUCCAGAGACGGAGCCUUCGACUUCGGGUGGGAGGAACACAGGUGCUGCAUGGCUGUCGUCAGCUCGUGUCGCGAGAUGUUGGGUUAAGUCCCGCAACGAGCGCAACCCUCGCCCUUAGUUGCCAUCAUUUAGUUGGGCACUCUAAGGGGACUGCCGGUGAUAAGCCGGAGGAAGGUGGGGAUGACGUCAAGUCCUCAUGGCCCUUACGGGCUGGGCUACACACGUGCUACAAUGGCGGUGACAGAGGGAUGCAAAGGGGCAACCCUUCGCAAAUCUCAAAAAGCCGUCUCAGUUCGGAUUGGGGUCUGCAACUCGACCCCAUGAAGUUGGAAUCGCUAGUAAUCGCAGAUCAGCACGCUGCGGUGAAUACGUUCCCGGGCCUUGUACACACCGCCCGUCACACCAUGGGAGUUGGCUUUACCUGAAGACGGUGCGCUAACCGCAAGGAAGCAGCCGGCCACGGUAGGGUCAGCGACUGGGGUGAAGUCGUAACAAGGUAGGCGUACUACA
rnacentral:rRNA from 1 species